CAGUCGCCACGGGAAUACGGAGGGUGCAAGCGUUAAUCGGAAUUACUGGGCGUAAAGCGCACGCAGGCGGUCUGGCAAGUCAGAUGUGAAAUCCCCGGGCUUAACCUGGGAACUGCAUUUGAAACUGGCAGGCUAGAGUCUUGUAGAGGGGGGUAGAAUUCCAGGUGUAGCGGUGAAAUGCGUAGAGAUCUGGAGGAAUACCGGUGGCGAAGGCGGCCCACUGGACAAAGCCUGACGCUCAGGUGCGAAAGCGUGGGGAGCAAACAGGAUUAGAUACCCGAGUAGUCCCUGUCUCUUAUAC
rnacentral:rRNA from 1 species